rnacentral:rRNA from 1 species
UGGUGGAGUGAUCUGUCUGGUUAAUUCCGUUAACGAACGAGACCUUAACCUGCUAAAUAGUUGUUGUGAAUCUUUCAUUAAUAGCUUCUUAGAGGGACUUUGCGUGUUUUAACGCAAGGAAGUUUGAGGCAAUAACA